rnacentral:rRNA from 1 species
GACGAACGCUGGCGGCGUGCUUAACACAUGCAAGUCGAGCGGUAAGGCCCUUUCGGGGUACGACGAGCGGCGAACGGGUGAGUAACACGUGGGCGACCUACCCUUCAGCUCUGGGAGUAAGCCUCGGGAAACGUGGGUCUAAUACCGGAUAGGACCGCAUGUCGCAUGGUGUGUGGUGGAAAGUUUGUUCUUAAUUGGACACUUCGGCUGGGGAUGGGCCCGCGGCCUAUCAGCUUGUUGGUGGGGGG